rnacentral:rRNA from 1 species
ACUCCUACGGGAGGCAGUAGUGGGGAAUAUUGCACAAUGGGCGCAAGCCUGAUGCAGCAACGCCGUGUGAGUGAAGAAGGUUUUCGGAUCGUAAAACUCUGUCCUAAGGGAAGAAACAAAUGACGGUACCUUAGGAGGAAGCCCCGGCUAACUACGUGCCAGCAGCCGCGGUAAUACGUAGGGGGCAAGCGUUAUCCGGAAUCACUGGGCGUAAAGGGUGCGUAGGCGGCUUAGCAAGCCAGGGGUGAAAGGCAUUGGCUCAACCAAUGUAAGCCUUUGGAACUGUUAAGCUUGAGUGCAGGAGAGGUAAGUGGAAUUCCUAGUGUAGAGGUGAAAUUCGUAGAUAUUAGGAGGAACACCAGUGGCGAAGGCGACUUACUGGACUGUAACUGACGCUGAUGCACGAAAGCGUGGGUAGCGAACAGGAUUAGAUACCCUGGUAGCAC